UUGCUCGCUCACGGCCUGAAGAACCCUGGGUGGGGACGGCCGGUGCCCUCCAAGGAGGUGUCCUUGAGGUGAUCAGGUGCGUUCUCAUAGGAGUGCUGCCUUGCCAGCGCGAGGAUCUUCUUGUCCGCCGCGAUGAAGUAGGCCAUGCCAGCAACUGCACGAUCCAGUUUUCGUGGAGCAAAACAGGCAUCAGUUAUAUAUAUGUUGAACAUGUUAAUUAAUUAAUUUCACUGACAUGUGAAAGCAUCUAUCUAGUCGAUCGUAGAGGAGUGAUAGAUGUACCUGUGGAGAUGAUGAGGGCCUGGCCAGCGGGGUUGAUGUUGGCCUUAGCCCAUGGCAGCAUCCUGACGCUAACCAGCUGAACAACAGAUCGAGAGGUUAUCGAAAUCACAUACUACACAGAGUUGAAUUUACUAUUCUAUCACUACUAGAUUUAAUUUACAUGCUGAGAUAGAUCGAUCAUAUAGAUAGCUAGAUGAACACUCACGGUGGGAAUUCCGGAGGCGACGGUCCCAAUAGCUGCUGCCUUGAACCCUGCGAUGGCGGCCUCUGCAUGCAGAGACGACAUCAUGUACUCAAGCAUCAUAUCAGUGCAGAAAGAAACCGAUCAGCGUCUAAUGACGAAAAGCAGCACCAAAAUAUUCAGUCUUUGUUUCCACACUCCACAGACCACAGUGUAGAUGCUUAUGAUGCUUGAAUCUAUACCUCGCGAGCAUUGCUUGGCGAGGGCAAGGUUCUGGUCGACGGACGCGGAGGUCACGGUGGUGUUCGGCAUGGUGAUCGAUCGAUCCUGAGAUGCACGCAGAGCUAGCUAUUCGCUCGAUCUCUGUCGUCGUCGUUGUGACUGACGAGUAUAUAUAAAACUGCCGAUGAAGAAGAUGGGAUGCAGGAGACGCUGGAGGAGGGCUCCGCAUUUAUAGGCGGGAGGCAUGUCUGGUAAAACUAUCGGCGGGGACGGGAGCCGGUGGGCGCGUCGGCGGCGGCGGCGCGGCGGACGUGGUUUUGGGGCCGAGACGAAACGCUCGUCCGGAUGGCCGGAUCACCGUCUGAGAAUGGAAGGCGCUGGGCGUGAGCAGAAACGGUGGUAGCCCGCCCGGACGGGCAAGGGUGCGCGCGCGGUUCACGUCCGCUAGCUGCACACAUUCCUCUCUAGCAGCAGCAGUCGUAGCACUCGCUGCUCGCCGGUGUGAUCAGCGGCUGUUUGUUUGCAUGUUCUCACGAAAUCAUGCCGGUUUCCGAGACCUAACCAUUGGGACGUAUACGUGGUUUUGAUGAUUGGGAAAAAGAAGGUAAUAAAGCUUGUUGUGGAUUCGAGCGGCCGGCAUCUGUGUGCUACUAGUAUCAUCAUCACAAAGAUAAGCGGCCGUGAAGCGUGAUGUGUAAGUGAUGACUGAUGACACGGUGCAUGGAACGGGGGAUCCGGGGAGACAUGCUAACAGCCAAACGAGUUGUGUUGUCAUGUCACUGCAUGCGCUCUGCAUGCAAGCUAGUGUGAAAAGUGCCGGCCCACACAAAAGUAAGGAUAGAAACUGAGCUAUCAGGAGAAAAAAAAAAGAUGGACACAGAUCGGAUACGCAUGGAAUUGGAUCCGAAUAUCAUCUUUUGCCAUAUUAUAAUUCGAAUAUAGAUACCAAUUCGGAUGUUUUCAAAUACGAAUACAAAACGGAUGUCUGAGACUUAGACUUCUGUUUGGAUAUUUACUCAAAUCAAUCCAAAAUGCAUUUUGUUAAAUUCAACAUACAUGAAUAAAAUUUUACUACUAAGUACAUCGUUAACCAAAGUAAAUUAAAUAAAAGUACAUUCUCGCAAAAAAAAAGAAAGUACACUCAUAUAAAUCUUUAAUAUCAAAGUAAACUAAAUUAUAAUGGAUGAUAUUAUAAUAAAUUCAAACAAAAAUGGUAGAAAACAAAUAGCCAUUUUACUUUAUCAAUAGUAUAUAACAUAGACAGGGAUAGCACAUAAAAAGAAUAUAGUUAUCAAUAAAUAUUCAAUAACUAAAUAUAUAACUAAUCAAUCAAUAUUAUAUUUAUAUAAAUACUUAUCAUGAAAUUAUAAAUUUAUAUAAAAUAAUUUACAUCAAUAAAUAAAUAAACUAAAGUAUUAAAAUAAUUUAAAAGAACAAAUGCAGUGGGUUAAACUAAAUCAAAAAAACAUUAAAAUUAAUUUAAUAUUUAUGUAUCAUUAAUAAUUUUCAAUUUAUAUUAAAAGUGAUAUACUAUUAAAUGGGUUCAAUUAUUAUUAGCUAUAAUAAAAUUAAAUAAAUGGUCACUCAUUAUGGAGAGAAUGCUCUUAUACGUAGGUACGUACAUGAUACCUUGUUUUCUUUGCGGAUAUGGAUAUUGUCGGAUAUUAUCGAAUACGGAUCUAGAAUCAUACUGAGAAAAACACUAAAAAACGAAUUUGGGUAUAUCCAUUUAGCAUCCAUAUUAGAAAUAGAUAUGAAUAUAGAUAUUCAUAUUACAGGUUCUAGCGGAUACAGGGAUAACCCGAAUAUCCAUUCCAUUUUCCAUCCCUACACACAAGACAAGCCUGAGGUGUAUGAAAGGUAAAAAGUAUGCAAAUAAACAGCAGCGAAUUAUCGGCACUGUAACUGCAAAUUUGGAACUGAAUAAACAAAUUAAACGUGAGCAGACUCAAAUGGAAAUGUUAAAAAGACAUGAUUUUUUCUCCUGUUUCUUAAUAGUAAAAAAAACAGGCAUUCAUCUUCUCAUGGUAACAAUUCUGUGUAUGUGAUGUGAGGACGAGCUUAUAAUCCUUGUCACAGGGUUGGUCACAGCGUACAUGGAAGUAGGCAGGGUGUUUGUCGCUCGCUGUUAGAGCGGGUGCAUACGUGUACUUUGGUCAGUCCGCCAGGAGGCACCUUUUUUUAUCUAUCUCAUGUUCUUUUUGGUUAUUUAAUUUUUGUUGUCGUCGUGGCGUGAUGGGUUGAGUGAAGGGCUGUCCCUGUGCUUUUAUAAAAAAAAUACUAUGAAAGUUUCUAGAAACAAAUUAUGUUAUGUAGAAGAAACAUUACAUAAGUAGGGAAGGUGUUUGUCGCUUGUUGUCACAAUGGGUUCUUGUGUGGUCAUAAUAUAACUGUAAGUAAUAGUUGUUCAGGACACAUUUUUUUUGUUCAUUUCAUGUUUUUGUAACACUCUCGUGUUAAGCGAACUAAAACAUGACAUGUCAUCAUGAGCAUUGCAUAGUUUAUUGUUAAGUAAACCCUGAUGCAUUAACUUAAAAUAAGUUUAACUUUGGUUGAAUGUGCUUAAGAAUUUAAAGUGUGUUUAAUUUAUGUAUGGAUGUUUAUUUUGGAGUUUAAAAACCUUGGGUGAAACUUAGGGGGGGAACCCUAGUUUUCAAAACCCUAGAUUUGUCCCCUUUUGUGCAAUUCAAAAACCAAGCAAAAUUUGAAGUUGAGUUCAAAAGCAAAGUUGUAGAUCUUGUCAAGAUGUACAACUUUGGUGUUUUGAGUUUUUGAAGAUUCAGUACAAAAUCCAAAGUAAUUUUAAAAAUACAGAUUUCUGGAAAGUGUCCCCUUUUCAAACUUAAAUCCCCAAUUCAAAAUCUGUUUGGAAUUUUGAAAAAUGGUCAACAUGAAAGUUGUAGGGCUUGAAAAGUUGAACAACUUUCAUGUUGGGAGUUUUUCAAGUUGUUAUACGAAAUCAAAAGUAAUUUUGGGAAUUCUGUUUUGCCCCAAUUCAAAAAUUUGGAAUUUCUUUGAUUUGAGUUUGAAUUUCAAAAUUGUUUGGGUAAAUUCACUAGUUUCCACUCAGAUUUGGCUCUGGCCACCAAAAGAUGUUUUGUAGCUCACAAAAUUUUGUACAACUUUUAUUUUGAUGAAAUUUUGACUUCUAUUCAAAGUUUGGUUGCAUUUCACAAAAAGACAGAGAGUACUUUGGGAAAAAGGGGGGGAUAAGCUUUGGCUCCUGUUCAUGGCGGUGGUCAGCCGAGAGUUGAUCGGUGAAUGCCAGCGCAUGGCCACCGUUUUACCCCGUCCACGCGCGUGUUCACGUCCGUGACGAUGUGGAGCACCUGCUGGCAACCAGGAGCGCGACGUGCCCUUCUAUACUGCGAGCACCGACCUCUUUUCUGCCACCGGAGCACCAAGGAGCAGCACCUCGUCCCCAUCCAAAUUGGCCGUGCUCGAUCCUCCUCGCAUCAAAUUGAGCUGUCCACUAUGUCCGCCACCUCCUUGCGAACCCAGAGCACCACCAAGCUCACUCCAUAACCCUCUCAAUCGCCGGGACGUCACCAUCUUCUCCAUCUCCGGCCGAAACGCCGCCGCGAGCACCUCACCGUGGCCAGCAUCACCCCGAGCUUCUCCGACGCUGCUUCUUGUUCCUUUGGGAUCGCGGUGAGCCACUGAUGCUCUUGCGCUGCUCAAUUCGCGCUCUACUCAAGCGUAGUGGCCGGCAUUGGCUCGGCCGGGGUGGCCGUCCGCCGCGUCCAUGGCCGUGGCAGCUAGGGUAGGGGAGAGCGGGUGUAAAGGAGGUCUACGGGUGCGCAAGGAUCUGGGGAAGCUAGCGCGCCUCGCUGCGGAAGCCGGGAGCUCACCGGUGUUGCGGUGGAGGUCGCCGGAGCGGUGGCGCGAGGUAGAAGGCGAAGCUGACGGGCGGGACCCGCCCGUCAGUGUCUGCGUGAGGUGAGGGGCAGCGCGCGGUCCGCGCGGGGGAGCUCUCCCGAGCUGGUUUGGGCCAAACGCGUGGGCCGAGCUCCUGGGCCGCAGUGGCACAGUGCUGUCUUGUUUUUCUUUUUCUUUUAUGCAGUUUUUGUUUUAUAUUUGAAAUUGUGUAGUAAAUUUUGUGCUGAUCCAAAAAUUAUGAAAAUUUAUGUGUGGGUUCCAGAGAAUGUAAAGAGUGUAGGAAAAAUAUUAAAUUUUAUUUUAUGUUAGUUUGCAUGUAUCUAUAAAUUGCCUCUGUUUAUUAAUGAAUAAACCUUCCAUGAUUUUUAGUAAAUUAUGGGUAUAUCCAAAAAUCAUGAAAUUUAAUAUGUGAUCUUAUGUUACUGUUAUCUAGCUUCAAGAAUAAUUUCAGCUCUGUUUGAUAAAGUAUGCUCUGUCUCUUAAUAAAGCUAUUUAAAAUAAUUAUAAAAGAAAUAGAAAUAAUUAUUCCUUUAGGCUUUGUGUGAUAUUUUAGAUUGAUUGGCAACCAAUGGUUACUUAGCAUGAUAUGCUCCCUGGUUAUGAUUUAUUUUAUAUAUAUGAUCUUUAUUGUUUGAUAGAUACCCAAUAUUGCUUAAUGAAAAUAAUAAAACUUGUUUAGAAAUAAUCUAUGUUUUUGGGUAGCUAAGUUAGUUGUUUCUAUACCGUGAAGGUAAAUUGUACUCGAGAUAGUUAUGUUUAUUGUUGUCAUCCAAGAACAUGUAACCUGUCUUUACCAUGCCAUGAGUAUAUCAUAAUCAUGCAUAUGCACUUUUACGUAUAGAAUACGCUCCGGAAGAAUCUGAUCCCCAGUGGGUUUCUUCCGAGUUUGUGGAUCCUUCGAGUGUUGUUGAGUUGCCGAACUUCCCUUCCGGUCAAGGCAAGCCCCGGACAUUAAACCCUAUCCUUGUAUUUUCAUAAAGUUAUUUAUAUCACUUGAGUUAAUAUGAUGCAUUAGGUGAAUAGGAGUUGAAUGAAUCCUAUUUGCUGCAUUAUCUACCUUGAUGAUUUCAAUAUUAACCUUGAUACUUGCUUUAUGAAAAUGCUUAGUAUGCUUAGCCCUGCUCAUUAGAUAAGUUUUCAAAUGAGAAAGUUUGAAGGGUUGUUGUGGAAUACUUUUAUGGUUAAUCAUGUUUAAACUUGCGACCGGUCGGUGGACUUGCUUUAAGAAUGGAGUCUUAAAGUAGUGUCUCCAACUGUGUCGAUUAAGGACCGUACCGUUGAUUGACCUGUUGUGAUUGAGACCUUUGAGUACAGCCCACAUGCGCUGGUAAGCCUUACCUAUAGCUAUUCCGAUACUUGAGAACGGCUAACCGCGUACUGGGAGUGGAGAGAUGGCGAGAGUAGCGUGUACCCACCUUACGGAUCUGAGAUGACCGGGAAACAUCUAGAUUGGCUGUAGGAUGGUGGUGUGCUGUACUCUCGGGUGACGCUGGACCCGUUCUUGUAUGGGAGGAUCUAUAGAAAAGGUUGACAUAUGCAAGAUUAAGUUCUACAUAUGUCGUGUGGUACUGAAUCCCCAGCUGGGUUUAAUCGAUUCGAAUCGCCGUGUUUCCUCGGAUAUGGAGCCUCAAUCCUCGUACCAUCAUCGUAGUAAUAAGUGAAUCUUUGGUUUAAGAAAGAGGUGGUAUGAUUAUGAAAGUUUGAUGAUAAUUUUGGUUAGUCAUAAAUGAUGACCUUGAGUUAAAACUUGAAAGUAGGUUUUACUCUUAGUAAGCUUUUAUGCAAAAAGAAAUGCUUUGAUCUUGUUAAAGCUUUACCUUGAAUCCCCAUAGCCUGCAUACCUGAGUCUUCACCUCUUUUAUAGUCGGUUAAGUCUUGUUGAGUACUUUUGUACUCAGGGUUUUAUUAACCCAUGUUGCAGGUGAACCUCUUGAUAAUCCUUUUGAUGGUCAUGGUUACUUUACUCUUGUGGAGGAGAGUAAUGAUGAUGAUGAAUCUGAUGAGUGACUUUGGGCAAGUAAAAUUUGUUGUGUGAUCUAUGGUUUAUGUAAUAUAAAGUUCCGAAGCUUUUAUGUAUCAAAUACUUAUGGUUUGUAAACUAUGAACUUAAGUUUCAAUCUAUGUUAUGUAACCUUUCCGCUUUUACUCUGAUUUCUCUUAUCUAUGAAAUGUUGUAAUACUGUGAUGCUUGAUGAGGGAAUUCCUGAAAAGAAUGUUACGUGGAUGAUUCGGGUUUCCCGAGGACACCCGACAGACUUCUUGAGUCAUUUGGAACUCGUGCACGUCGAUCAGAAGUCUUUGGGACAAUGAUGUGUGCAUGUGGGCCACUUAAUUCAGGAGGUUCUGCCACAGCUGGUAUCAGAGCAGGUUUCCCUUAGAAAGUAUAACAGUAUUUAUUUAAAAAUUUCAAAAGCUUUUGAGUCAAACCAAAUUUCAAAUUAGUUUGAGUCCAAAUUGCUUCUAAGCUCGUCUUAUGCUUCUAACUUGUCUCAAUUCAUUCUUUAGACUUAUCCUUCUCUCUAAAUGGAUAUGUUCUUAGUAUAAUUAUGGUGAUAUUUAUAUACAAGGAACGAUGCUUAUAAUAUUAUAAUAUUGCCCUAAUUAUGAAAAGAAAGUUUAUGCACUUUUAUGUUAAGUGACUAAAUUAAAGCUAAUUAAUUGUUUGAUGUAUGCUUUGUUCGUAAGUACGUUUCAUGCAUCAUUAUUGAAAACAUGUAAUAGACUUUCCUCCUUAAAGUUGUUAAUAAUUAGAGGUAAUAUGUUUAUCUAAUUGUAAAACUCUAUCCUUUAACCUUGGAACAUAUAUAGUUCUAAUAUUCAAAAUAAAAAUAUUUUGGCAGAUGGCUCGUACCCGCCUAACCGCUCGCAAGUCCACCGGAGGUCGUGUCCCAAGGCACCAGUUGGCAUCAAGGGAUCCGCCACCCUCCGACAGCAGCGACAGCAGCACUGACAACUCCAGCGAUGGAAACGGGAGUGACACCAGCGGAGGUCCUCCUUCGCCAAGGACCUACAGGCUUAUGAAGAAUGAUAUGCGCCUGAUGCUCACUGACAACAUCAACAUGGAAGUUCAGCUGUACCAUAUGGCGGGGUAUGUGGUCAAUCUUGAGGCCUAUACCAACAUCCUCCAUGAGGAAGUGCACCAGCUGCAGGAUGCCCUCAAUCCACCUGAGGCUCCUGAAGCAGCAGAGGAAGGACCAGUUGUCAUCCAAGUGGAUAGUGAUACUUCUGAGGAUGAAGCAGAAGAACCAGGAACCCCCACUCCAGAUGAGGAUGUUACCACCAGUGAGUCGGAUAUGGAUGACGACUAGGUGUUGAGAAGGCAAGAAGUAUGACCUAGUGUGAUCUUCUGACUUUGUAACUUAGUUAGUCAGAAAACCUCUAGUAUGGGAAGUGUGUAAGAUAGUGGUUUCGGUAGUCCUGCCCAGGAGCGGACUUGUAUGAUAAAUAAGAUGAACUGUUUGUGCUAUGUAAGCCAUGAUGUAUGAUGUUUAAGUAAGUAUGUUAAUCGAAGUGUGAUGUGUUUUUAAACAGAUGUCUGCUAACAACCAUGGAGCUAGUUCUUCCCAGGGUGGGGAUGAUUUUCCUAAUGCACCACCAGUUCCACCCUCUUUGGCUGAUGCAAUUGCAGCAUUGGUCAAUGCAACAACUUUGUUAGCACAGAAUCAGAAUGUUGGUCAGCGUGGCCGUGGUCGAAAUAACCGAGAAGAAACCACAUAUGUUGACUUCACAGAUACUCGUCCCCCAGUAUUCACAAAAGCUGAUGAACCUCUCGAAGCUGAGGAUUGGCUUCGCACUAUGGAGCAAAAGUUCAGUCUCAUCAACUGUACUGAAACCCAGAAGCCAGUUUUCGCCGCUCAGCAGCUGAGAGGAGCAGCAGGAGUUUGGUGGGAAAACUUACUGGCUGUUCAACCAGCCCGCCACCGAAUCACUUGGGGAGAAUUCAAGGAAGCCUUCAGGGCUCAUUACAUUCCCAAGGGAGUUAUGAAAAUGAAGCUCGAAGAGUUCUUAGCUCUCCGUCAGGGGGAUGAAACAGUCAUGCAGUAUAUUGGAAAGUUUAAUCAUCUGUCCCAAUAUGCAAUUGAGCAAGUCAACACUGAUGAAAAGAAGAAGGAAUGUUUCAUGAGAGGCUUGAAUACAAAGCUCCAGCUAAUGAUGGCAUCAUGUGGCAAUAUAUCUUAUCAUGAGGCAGUGAACAUUGCUAUCUCCAGUGAAGAAAAGAAUCGCAAACAUAAGGAGGCUAAGAAGAAGAGGGGUUUUGUCUCAGGGUCUGGAUCAUCUGGCGGCAACAAGAAGCGUCAGAGGCUUGUAUAUCAUCCAGCUCAGCAGUUCCGCCCAUCUUAUCGUCCUUCUUAUCAGCCGCCUCAGCAGCAGAAUAUGCAGAGGAAUUUUGCAAGGCCGACAAUGCCAUUCAAUGUUCAGCGUCAGCCGAAUGUUCCUGCCAUUCGUCCGCCAAUGCCACAAGCUGCAAACAACCCUUGUUACAAUUGUGGGAAGAGUGGACAUUUUUCUCGUGAAUGUCCAUAUCCAAGGCAAAAUGUCCCAAAUGUCAAUGCACCAAGACUAGUUGGAAAUCAGCAAGCAAAUCAAAACAAAGGUAAUGCCCAGAAUCAGCAGAAGGGUAAGGGUACUCAGAAAACAGGAAGGGUUUUUCAUACUCAAGUUGAAGCUAUACCUGAGGGAGAACCAGUGAUGCUUGGUAUGUUCCCUGUUGCCCAACACUCAGCGCUUACACUUUUUGAUUCUGGUGCAUCACAUACUUUCAUGAAUAGAGCAUUUGCGGAAAAGCAUAAUAUACCUAUUGGUGCAACCAAAGAUGAGUUCUUUAUACAGUCACCUGGGGGUCGACUAUGCACUAAGGAGAUGGUACAUCAGGUACCAAUAGACUUGGGUGGAUAUAUAUUUCCAACAUCCAUGAUAGUGUUAAAAGAUCCAAGUAUAGAUGUGAUCUUGGGUAUGAACUGGAUGAGUCAGAGAGGUGCAGUUAUAGACACCUUAAAUAGAACCAUCAAGGUCAACUUACCUAAUAGCAAGUCUCAACUUCUUAUCCAUCUUCCUACCCUUAAGAGAGCAGUUGAGCAAGUAUGUGCUAUCUCUGUCAAGGAAAUCAAGGACAUUCCAGUGGUCUGUGAGUUUCCUGAUGUGUUCCCAGAGGAUUUACCUGGUCUGCCACCUGAUCGUGAUGUGGAGUUUGAAAUAGAGCUCAAGCCAGGGACAGCACCAAUAUCCAGAAGAGCUUAUAGAAUGCCACCAAAAGAAUUAGCAGAACUAAAAACUCAGUUGCAAGAAUUGAUGGAUAAAGGUUUCAUUCGACCUAGUUCAUCACCAUGGGGUUGUCCGGCAAUCUUUGUGAAGAAAAAGGACAAUACCUUGAGGCUAUGUGUGGACUAUCGUCCUUUGAAUGAAGUAACAAUCAAGAAUAAGUAUCCUUUGCCCCGUAUUGAUCUUCUCUUUGAUCAACUAACUGGUGCUAAGGUAUUUUCGAAGAUAGACUUGAGAUCUGGGUAUCAUCAAAUUAAGAUCAAGCCAAAAGAUGUUCCGAAAACAGCAUUCACUACCCGAUAUGGUCUGUAUGAAUAUCUGGUCAUGUCUUUUGGUCUGACAAAUGCCCCAGCACAUUUUAUGUACUUGAUGAAUUCAGUGUUUAUGCCAGAGUUAGAUAAAUUCGUGGUGGUAUUCAUUGAUGACAUUCUCAUCUAUUCCAAAACUAAAGAAGAACAUGAAGAGCAUCUCAGGAUAGUGUUGACUCGCCUGAGAGAACAUCAGUUAUAUGCUAAGUUUAGCAAGUGUGAAUUCUGGAUAGAUGAAGUUCAAUUUUUGGGUCAUGUCCUGUCAGCUGAAGGUGUUGCAGUAGAUCCAAGCAAAGUUCAGGAAGUUCUUGACUGGAAGUCACCAACUUCAGUACAUCAAGUUCGGAGUUUCUUAGGAUUAGCGGGGUAUUAUCGCAGGUUUAUCCCUGACUUCUCCAAGAUCUCUAAACCAAUGACAACACUGCUGAAGAAUGAUACCAAGUUUGUGUGGUCAUUCGAGUGUGAAGAAGCUUUUCGGACUUUGAAAAAGUUGUUGACCACUGCACCCGUGCUAGCUCAACCUGAUAUUGAAAAAUCUUUUGAUGUGUAUUGUGAUGCUUCAGGCAAAGGCAUUGGGUGUGUACUAAUGCAAGAAGGCAGAGUCAUUGCAUAUGCUUCACGACAACUUAAGCGUCAUGAAGAGCAUUAUCCAACCCAUGAUCUAGAGUUGGCAGCUGUAGUCCAUGCUCUGAAGAUCUGGCGACUUUAUCUAUUGGGCAAUACUUGUCACAUAUAUACUGAUCAUAAGAGUUUGAAAUACAUCUUUACUCAGUCAGAGUUGAAUAUGCGCCAGAGAAGAUGGUUAGAACUGAUAAAAGAUUAUGAUAUUGAGGUACAUUAUCACCCAGGCAAAGCCAAUGUGGUGGCAGAUGCACUCAGUCGAAAGAGUCAUUGCAAUUGUCUGGAAGUCAAGCCUAUAGACCUUACCUUAUGUUAUGAAUUUGAAAAGUUAGGUCUUGAGAUGAUUCCACAAGGGAGUUUGACAAAUAUGACAGUUCAGUCAUCUAUCAAAGAUCAGAUUAUUACAGCCCAGCAAGAAAAUAAGGGUAUAAUCUUUUUGAAAAGAAAGGUUCAGUCUGAACCAAAUUCUAAGUUCAGAAUAGAUGAAGCUGGAGUGAUUUGGUUCAAGGAUCGUUUAGUAGUUCCAAAAGUCCCUGAACUCAGAAAACAAAUUCUUGAUGAAGCUCAUGCAACAAGACUUUCAAUCCAUCCAGGUAGUAAUAAGAUGUAUCAUGAUCUAAAACAAAGAUUCUGGUGGACUAAGAUGAAGCUUGAAAUUGCUAGUUAUGUGGCUAGAUGCGAUACUUGUCAAAAAGUGAAAGCAGUUCAUCUUAGGUCUGCUGGAGAAUUGCAACCGUUGCCAAUUCCAUCUUGGAAAUGGGAUGACAUUAGUAUGGACUUCAUAGUAGGUUUACCCAGAACAUCGAGAGGGUUUGAUUCCAUAUGGGUCAUUGUUGAUCGCCUAACCAAAUCGGCCCAUUUCAUUCCAGUAAGAAAGGAUUAUCGAGCUUCUGACUAUGCUAAGAUAUACUUUAACAGAAUUGUGAGUCUACAUGGUGUUCCAAAGACUAUUGUAUCUGAUAGAGGGACACAAUUUGUGAAUGCUUUCUGGAAGCAUCUGCAUAAGUCCUUGGGUACCAAACUUCUGCAUAGUACAGCUUAUCAUCCACAGACUGGAGGUCAGACUGAAAGAGUCAAUCAGAUCUUAGAAGAUAUGUUAAGAUCUUGUGUGCUCAGUUAUUCAGAGAAGUGGCACGAAUGUUUGCCUUUAGCAGAAUUCUCUUAUAAUAAUAGUUAUCAAGAGAGCAUUAAGAUGGCACCAUUGGAAGCUUUAUAUGGCAGAAGGUGCAGAACACCCUUGAAUUGGUCAGAACCUGGAGAACAUAGUCUCUUCGGGGUUGACUUAGUCAAAGAAACCGAAGAAAAAGUCAGGCUCAUUCGAGAGAACAUGAAGAUAGCACAGUCCAGGCAAAAGAGUUAUGCUGAUAAGAGACGUCGAUCUCUUACCUUUGAGGCUGGUGAUUAUGUAUACCUCAAAGUGUCACCUAUGAAAGGAGUAACUCGUUUUGGAGUAAAAGGAAAGUUGGCACCUCGAUAUAUAGGUCCAUAUCAAAUCCUUGAAAGAUGUGGAAAGGUGGCAUAUCGUCUAGAUUUACCACCACAGUUGUUAUCAGUACACAAUGUGUUCCAUGUCUCUCAAUUAAAGAAAUGUCUUCGAGUGCCUGAUCAUAUCAUUCAUGUUGAAGAAAUUGAGUUAAAGCCUGAUCUAACAUAUUCAGAGUAUCCUAUCAAGAUUUUGGAUCAAAAAGAUCGAGUCACUCGUAGAAGAACUAUCAAAUACUACAAGGUGCAAUGGAAUCAACAUACUGAAGAUGAAGCCACGUGGGAAUCCGAAGAGUUUCUCUUAGAAAGUUUUCCUGAGUUCCUUUCUUCUAUGCUAUCCUUGUAAUCUGUAGUGUUAUGAUCUACCCCUGUUUUUGUAAAAGUUGGUUUUGGAAGUGCUUGAUAAACUUCCUUUUCCAUUAGUUAGCCUUCAAGUUAAAUCUCGGGACGAGAUUUCUUUAAGGGGGAAAGAGCUGUAACACUCUCGUGUUAAGCGAACUAAAACAUGACAUGUCAUCAUGAGCAUUGCAUAGUUUAUUGUUAAGUAAACCCUGAUGCAUUAACUUAAAAUAAGUUUAACUUUGGUUGAAUGUGCUUAAGAAUUUAAAGUGUGUUUAAUUUAUGUAUGGAUGUUUAUUUUGGAGUUUAAAAACCUUGGGUGAAACUUAGGGGGGGAACCCUAGUUUUCAAAACCCUAGAUUUGUCCCCUUUUGUGCAAUUCAAAAACCAAGCAAAAUUUGAAGUUGAGUUCAAAAGCAAAGUUGUAGAUCUUGUCAAGAUGUACAACUUUGGUGUUUUGAGUUUUUGAAGAUUCAGUACAAAAUCCAAAGUAAUUUUAAAAAUACAGAUUUCCGGAAAGUGUCCCCUUUUCAAACUUAAAUCCCCAAUUCAAAAUCUGUUUGGAAUUUUGCAAAAUGGUCAACAUGAAAGUUGUAGGGCUUGAAAAGUUGAACAACUUUCAUGUUGGGAGUUUUUCAAGUUGUUAUACGAAAUCAAAAGUAAUUUUGGGAAUUCUGUUUUGCCCCAAUUCAAAAAUUUGGAAUUUCUUUGAUUUGAGUUUGAAUUUCAAAAUUGUUUGGGUAAAUUCACUAGUUUCCACUCAGAUUUGGCUCUGGCCACCAAAAGAUGUUUUGUAGCUCACAAAAUUUUGUACAACUUUUAUUUUGAUGAAAUUUUGACUUCUAUUCAAAGUUUGGUUGCAUUUCACAAAAAGACAGAGAGUACUUUGGGAAAAAGGGGGGGAUAAGCUUUGGCUCCUGUUCAUGGCGGUGGUCAGCCGAGAGUUGAUCGGUGAAUGCCAGCGCAUGGCCACCGUUUUACCCCGUCCACGCGCGUGUUCACGUCCGUGACGAUGUGGAGCACCUGCUGGCAACCAGGAGCACGACGUGCCCUUCUAUACUGCGAGCACCGACCUCUUUUCUGCCACCGGAGCACCAAGGAGCAGCACCUCGUCCCCAUCCAAAUUGGCCGUGCUCGAUCCUCCUCGCAUCAAAUUGAGCUGUCCACUAUGUCCGCCACCUCCUUGCGAACCCAGAGCACCACCAAGCUCACUCCAUAACCCUCUCAAUCGCCGGGACGUCACCAUCUUCUCCAUCUCCGGCCGAAACGCCGCCGCGAGCACCUCACCGUGGCCAGCAUCACCCCGAGCUUCUCCGACGCUGCUUCUUGUUCCUUUGGGAUCGCGGUGAGCCACUGAUGCUCUUGCGCUGCUCAAUUCGCGCUCUACUCAAGCGUAGUGGCCGGCAUUGGCUCGGCCGGGGUGGCCGUCCGCCGCGUCCAUGGCCGUGGCAGCUAGGGUAGGGGAGAGCGGGUGUAAAGGAGGUCUACGGGUGCGCAAGGAUCUGGGGAAGCUAGCGCGCCUCGCUGCGGAAGCCGGGAGCUCACCGGUGUUGCGGUGGAGGUCGCCGGAGCGGUGGCGCGAGGUAGAAGGCGAAGCUGACGGGCGGGACCCGCCCAUCAGUGUCUGCGUGAGGUGAGGGGCAGCGCGCGGUCCGCGCGGGGGAGCUCUCCCGAGCUGGUUUGGGCCAAACGCGUGGGCCGAGCUCCUGGGCCGCAGUGGCACAGUGCUGUCUUGUUUUUCUUUUUCUUUUAUGCAGUUUUUGUUUUAUAUUUGAAAUUGUGUAGUAAAUUUUGUGCUGAUCCAAAAAUUAUGAAAAUUUUUGUGUGGGUUCCAGAGAAUGUAAAGAGUGUAGGAAAAAUAUUAAAUUUUAUUUUAUGUUAGUUUGCAUGUAUCUAUAAAUUGCCUCUGUUUAUUAAUGAAUAAACCUUCCAUGAUUUUUAGUAAAUUAUGGGUAUAUCCAAAAAUUAUGAAAUUUAAUAUGUGAUCUUAUGUUACUGUUAUCUAGCUUCAAGAAUAAUUUCAGCUCUGUUUGAUAAAGUAUGCUCUGUCUCUUAAUAAAGCUAUUUAAAAUAAUUAUAAAAGAAAUAGAAAUAAUUAUUCCUUUAGGCUUUGUGUGAUAUUUUAGAUUGAUUGGCAACCAAUGGUUACUUAGCAUGAUAUGCUCCCUGGUUAUGAUUUAUUUUAUAUAUAUGAUCUUUAUUGUUUGAUAGAUACCCAAUAUUGCUUAAUGAAAAUAAUAAAACUUGUUUAGAAAUAAUCUAUGUUUUUGGGUAGCUAAGUUAGUUGUUUCUAUACCGUGAAGGUAAAUUGUACUCGAGAUAGUUAUGUUUAUUGUUGUCAUCCAAGAACAUGUAACCUGUCUUUACCAUGCCAUGAGUAUAUCAUAAUCAUGCAUAUGCACUUUUACGUAUAGAAUACGCUCCGGAAGAAUCUGAUCCCCAGUGGGUUUCUUCCGAGUUUGUGGAUCCUUCGAGUGUUGUUGAGUUGCCGAACUUCCCUUCCGGUCAAGGCAAGCCCCGGACAUUAAACCCUAUCCUUGUAUUUUCAUAAAGUUAUUUAUAUCACUUGAGUUAAUAUGAUGCAUUAGGUGAAUAGGAGUUGAAUGAAUCCUAUUUGCUGCAUUAUCUACCUUGAUGAUUUCAAUAUUAACCUUGAUACUUGCUUUAUGAAAAUGCUUAGUAUGCUUAGCCCUGCUCAUUAGAUAAGUUUUCAAAUGAGAAAGUUUGAAGGGUUGUUGUGGAAUACUUUUAUGGUUAAUCAUGUUUAAACUUGCGACGGGUCGGUGGACUUGCUUUAAGAAUGGAGUCUUAAAGUAGUGUCUCCAACUGUGUCGAUUAAGGACCGUACCGUUGAUUGGCCUGUUGUGAUUGAGACCUUUGAGUACAGCCCACAUGCGCUGGUAAGCCUUACCUAUAGCUAUUCCGAUACUUGAGAACGGCUAACCGCGUACUGGGAGUGGAGAGAUGGCGAGAGUAGCGUGUACCCACCUUACGGAUCUGAGAUGACCGGGAAACAUCUAGAUUGGCUGUAGGAUGGUGGUGUGCUGUACUCUCGGGUGACGCUGGACCCGUUCUUGUAUGGGAGGAUCUAUAGAAAAGGUUGACAUAUGCAAGAUUAAGUUCUACAUAUGUCGUGUGGUACUGAAUCCCCAGCUGGGUUUAAUCGAUUCGAAUCGCCGUGUUUCCUCGGAUAUGGAGCCUCAAUCCUCGUACCAUCAUCGUAGUAAUAAGUGAAUCUUUGGUUUAAGAAAGAGGUGGUAUGAUUAUGAAAGUUUGAUGAUAAUUUUGGUUAGUCAUAAAUGAUGACCUUGAGUUAAAACUUGAAAGUAGGUUUUACUCUUAGUAAGCUUUUAUGCAAAAAGAAAUGCUUUGAUCUUGUUAAAGCUUUACCUUGAAUCCCCAUAGCCUGCAUACCUGAGUCUUCACCUCUUUUAUAGUCGGUUAAGUCUUGUUGAGUACUUUUGUACUCAGGGUUUUAUUAACCCAUGUUGCAGGUGAACCUCUUGAUAAUCCUUUUGAUGGUCAUGGUUACUUUACUCUUGUGGAGGAGAGUAAUGAUGAUGAUGAAUCUGAUGAGUGACUUUGGGCAAGUAAAAUUUGUUGUGUGAUCUAUGGUUUAUGUAAUAUAAAGUUCCGAAGCUUUUAUGUAUCAAAUACUUAUGGUUUGUAAACUAUGAACUUAAGUUUCAAUCUAUGUUAUGUAACCUUUCCGCUUUUACUCUGAUUUCUCUUAUCUAUGAAAUGUUGUAAUACUGUGAUGCUUGAUGAGGGAAUUCCUGAAAAGAAUGUUACGUGGAUGAUUCGGGUUUCCCGAGGACACCCGACAGACUUCUUGAGUCAUUUGGAACUCGUGCACGUCGAUCAGAAGUCUUUGGGACAAUGAUGUGUGCAUGUGGGCCACUUAAUUCAGGAGGUUCUGCCACAGUUUUUCAAUUAUUUUUUUGGUUCAUGUUGCCUGAUAAGGUGAGUGAUAGGUUUACUCGGCAGCGCCAUUAAUUAAAGAAAAAAUAUUAUAAUUGUUUCUAGAAAUACAUUAUGUAAUGGAGAGGAAAUGUUACUAAAAAAAUAUUUGGAGUGAGGCUACAUACGUUUCCAUGCUUGCAGGCCUAGGAUACGUUAUAGGGGGUGUACAUAAGUUUUUUUUUUUGAAAUAUCCGUUACCGGCUCUUAUUGAUAAGAAGACAUCAACUUUAUAUAAAAGCAUUGGAGCCAAACAGUUGUGUAACACAUCACGAAAGGCUAGCCCACCCAUGCAAACGCGACAGAGAACACAUCACCAAGAGUCAUAGCUGCCAAGCAUGGUUGCAAAGCAGCCAGUAGCUUCGACUUCCCAUGGAAGCUCACAGACAACCCAACUAAGAUGUGAGACUGAAGGUCCCCAAGCAGGAGAGGUUAUAGCAAGUCAUCAUUGCCGAGCUCAACCACAUCGCGAAGAGCAGCUUUGAAUUCCAGCCUUGAUCCUCUUGCCGCAUCCGUGGCGAAUGCCAAGCGUCCGAAACAAACCCAACUGUUGAAUAAGAGGUUGACUAGGCACUGAGAAGCGGAGGGUGUCCGCCACUCGAGACAUCAUGAUCGAGUCGAAAUUUCUCAAGUAACGCCUUUAGUAAGGUUACAACGUCCAGUGUGUGUCGUCGCUCAUCUAGGAAUGGACCUGGUUUUCACAUACAGAAGAUGUUGCCAGAGACACGACGCCCCAAUAGGGAAAGCGGUGCCGCAUGCAUCACCAUUGCUAGGCUUUCGCCAGAGCUGAGGUGUCCCCCAACAAACUAAAUGCUAGACCCCAAACUGUCGCCGCCAUCGUCACUACCAGUCAUCCUAUAGAAGCCUCACCAGAGAGGCAUCAACGUACCAGCUACUCGUAGCAGCUGCACAACUGCGUCGCCGACCCCCAUCGACCAGACAACAUGCUAAGAACCAGCCUCACCCUAUCGCACGUGUCCUUCUACCACAUGCAGUAGCCGUCGCUAGCUGAGCACCUGUCGUCGAUGCUGCCAAUCUCCUGCAGCAACCGUCAGGCACAUAUGCUCCACCACAAGCGCUACCCCUUGCCUUGGGGGUGUCGGAUUUGGCCAACAGGGCACCAGACCCAGUUUCCUCCGUUGACGUUGACGCGUCCACCAUGGAUGCAUGGUCGAGGGGAAAAGAAGGAUGUUGAGGAAGAUGAAGAAGCCCCCCGUCACUACUCGACACCAGCACGGGCACUGGGCGGCAUCACUGCGGCUCUAGCAGGUGGCCCCAUCGAGCCCCACGUGGCUCAUGCGAGUGCAUGCCUCGCUAGUCCACUGCUACGCACGUUGCCACCAUAGCCAAGCACAGAAGAGGAUGAGGCCCGCCCUUGGUGUCCUAGGCCGACACAGCCACACCACGCAUGUUCUAGACGCUGAACCGAGGGUUGUAGCCUUAGCCACCGUCGCCCAACACCUAGUUCUACAUGGAUCCGACCCAUGCCUCGUCAAAUCCGGAUGCCAAGAUGAGCAAGCAGUACUAGACCGCCGCUACACGGGCCCCAUGACGCCACACAUGAGCUCGCCCUUGACCACCGCACCCAUGACCACAAAGAAGGCCCCUGCCGCCGCCCUUAUGGCAAGCCGCACGACCAUGACAGCGGCCUACUCCAGUGGUGGCACGACGCGAGGGAAGGAGGAAAGGAAGUGACUGUGUAGAUUCGAGUCGCUUCCCAUGUCGCUCAUGUGGGAGCAAUGUAGGGUCCUUUUUCGGUCCGAUGGUUUUGGACUUGUGGGGUGUACGUAAGUAGAGAAAGUUUUUGUCGCUUGUUGUUGGGGUGGGUGCAUGUGUGGCCUUUUGUUGUAACGUAACUAUAUGCAAUGAGUUUGCCCCUGCAUUCAAGAAAAGUUCCUAUGAAUUUUUCUAGAAGUAAAUUAUGUUACGGAUAAGAAACGUUAUAUACGGGGUGUACGGAAGUAGGAAAAGUUUUUGUCUAUUGUUGUCGGGAUGGGUUCAUACGUGGCCCAUCACUAUAAGAAUCAAGGCUUUACAUGACGGUUACUUUGGUCACAAACAGUCAAAAAUACGUCAUGGUUAACUUACCAUGACGAAAGAAAAAACCGUCAUGUAUCUCACGUCAUAAAUUUGCUGAAUCAAAUUAAGCCGUCACAAAUUGACAUUUAGGUUCGUCAUAGAAUCCCUGGAAGUCCAUUUAGCCCAGAUUAGGCCCAAUAGUGUAUGACAAAAUUGACCGUCAUAGCCAUUUAACACGUAGGAUGCUUUCCAUCAUAGAUUUGAUUUGUCAUGUAAGUGUUAUGUGUUCACCAAAAUCGACCAUCACAAAUCAUAUAAUGAAAAUCACAUAUAGCCCAACAAUUUAGUAACUCAAUUUCCAGUACAUUAACAUAACAUGUUCUGAUUAUCACAAGGAAACACAAAAUAGGUCCUUAUCGACCUUCACAUCUAUUACAAUAGCAUUCUAGUAGCUAGUGCAUAGGCUUGAACUUUUUUCUGUAUGGUGACACUCCUUCAAAAAAUCCAUUGCAUCAUGGUCCUAGUCUCUGUAGUUGUCUCCCUGAAAAUAACACAUGUAGUUUUCUCCAUGAGAGUAUGUAGGUAAAUUAAACCGUAGGCAAGGAACAAGGCAUCAAGUUAUCUACAAUAAAAACAGAGUGUUGGUACACAUAUCAACAUUUCCAAGACUGACCAAGGCAGGUUUGGUAGCAAGGCAACUGGCAACUUAGUUCAGUAGUAGGUUUGGUAGUUAGCAGUAAUUGGCAGCAACACAUAUCUACUUAGUUUAGUAAGUGAAUUGGCAGCAACACAUAUCAAGCACGGAAUGGAAUCAAAUUUUAGAUAUGGGCCUUAUAAUGCCUCCUGAUUCAGAUUUCUAUGUUAGAUGAGGGGAAGCGACAUCACCAUGCUCCAGCAGUUUGAGAAUCUUAUACUCUGUAAUUUGAGGGAAAUCUGCAUCGUUGGAGAAACCAAACAUGACAGAUCACACAGUAUAGUGGCACCAAACUUAAUGUACCACAAAUCAUGCACCAAUCCAAUUGAACAUGGGAGAGGGAAACAACAUACCUUAUUCAGAUCCAGCAGAGACCUUCCCCAUAUCGUUGCUGCCAGAUCUGAGGCCAGGCAUCGGGGCUCAGGGGUUGGAGGAGAGGGAUUGAGGGAGGACUGGUCACCUGGAGUCAGCAGCCAAUCUGCUGAGUACCACACACGAACAUACCCGUGCAGCCCGCCCGCUCGAUGCCGUGGCCACCACCAUGUUGUCGAUCUGGCCACUGUGGCAUGGAUCCAACAAGGGAGAAGAAGGACAACCACCCCAUCGUUGAUUAGCUGCCGAGGGAGAGGGAGGGAGCUCGCCGUACCUGUGAGAUCUGAGGGAAGACUGAGGGAGGCCGCCGGAUUCGAGCCAUGGCGCCCCGCUUGUCGGCAGGAUGCAUGGUGACGACGCAGCGUGUCGAUGACGACCCAGUUCUACGUGCAGCGCGCCAUGGAGAAGGGGCUGGGUGUCGAUCGGAGGUCUUUCAGCGCCCGGCACCGCGCUCGCGACGGGGAGAGAAGCGACGCCGUAAGCAGCAGCUGGCAUCCUUGGUUGGGCGGCGGCUGCAGGAGCGGAGGGCGUGGGGAUGAUGUGUUGGGCUUAGGGUUUCACAAAUCAACAUAUACUGAAGUCGAUAAUGGGCCUUUGUGGGCUACUGUUGUCAAGUGUCCACCUCGGAGCAAUAUAAGAUGAUGAGGCAAGUCAUAUAAGUGUGUUUACAUGUUUGCCUACCAUUUCAAUCACCAGUUUAAUUGCCUUGGCUAUUUAGUUCAACAAGCUAAAGUGCAUUAGCUACUUAAUUAAGGCAAACGUGUGACCACAUAGCCAAGGUUGUGACAAAAAAGUAAACAUGCAUUAAAUUUUUAUUAAGACAAAUGUGUCAUUAUCACUCCAAUUUAAUAUGAAUAAAUGUUUUAUUUCUAUUUUUAUUAAUUUACCAAUCUAAAAUGAAUAUAUAUGUCUUGGGCUCGAUAUCCAAUACUCUUGAUCUUGCAUCAUUUUGUAAGGGAAUAACAUCUGUGACAUCCAUCAGUGAUGACAACUAAACCAGUCAUCAUAGAUUUAUCAUCUCAGAAAUAAAACGUCACAGAUAAUAGAAUUCUAUGAUGCUUUCUUAGAACGUCACCAGAAAUCGUCAUGUAAAGCCUCAUUUCUUGUAGUGAUCAUCGUCAUUAAGUUCAUAACAUAACUAUAAGCAAUAGAUGUCCAUCAAUGAUGCACUGUUUUAAUUUGUGUUUGUUGUAUAUUUUUCUUAAUUAUUUUCUGUCUUCGUUGCAUGAUGAGAUGAGUAAGGGGUUCGACCCUGACUUGCAGGGAUGGAGCCAAGAAGUUGAUUUUUUUAAAUGUUAGGAGACGCCAACCAUGUUAAAUUUUUAAAAUUUAUUUGAAUUUUAAUAAAAUAGUGGAAAAUUGGGGGUUUGUUAUUUUGUAGAAGUGGAACCGUCGACGAAAGAGGCUAGGUUUUGUUAGGUCAAGUUGAUCCCAACCACGUCUGUUGUGCUUGCCUGCUGUUUAUUCUAGCUCUGAAGUUAAAAAAGGUUUUGGAAAUACUGAAGUUUAGCUUGUGUGCAUAGUUAGAGAAGAGCACCAGCCACUUGUAUCUAAUUAGGGGUCUGAGAAUGUGUGUAUGAAUGCAUGAUGGAGUAUAACUAAAAACCAUCGUGUUGUGCAAACCCCCUUGCGGUACAUGCAUGGACGGCACACGGGCGGCACAGAAGCACAGUGUACAACAUCGAUGAUUGAUAUGAAGAGGAAAAGCCUUUUGCCAUCAUGCAUGUUUUUUUGCGGUCAUAUAGCACAAAAAGUUGUAUACUUAGGCCUUGUUUAGUUCCCAAAAAAUUUUGCAAAAUUUUUCAGAUUCCCCAUCACAUCGAAUCUUUAGACGUAUGCAUGAAGUAUUAAAUAUAGAUGAAAACAAAAACUAAUUACACAGUUUGAUCGGAAUUGACGAGACGAAUCUUUUGAGCCUAGUUAGUCCAUGAUUGGACAAUAUUUAUCAAAUACAAACGAAAUUGGUACUAUUCACAUUUUGCAAAAGUUUUUGGAACUAAACAAGGCCUUAAAAAAUAGGAGCUAGCAUAUCAUUUAUAUGAUGGAAGGUAGCUAGAUACAGUAAACUGGAGCACUAUAAGCUAGGAGUAUUACAGUUUCUCGGAGCACAUCGAUCGCCGAUGUCUACUAGCUAGUAGUAGUAGUAUAUAUAUAUAUAUAUAUAUAUAUAUAUAUAUAUAUAUAUAUAUAUAUAUAUAUAUAUAUUUAUUUAUUUAUUUAUUAGGCUAGUAGUAGUAGAUUAUUGUUUGGACAUGCUGCAUCGACGGCUGAGAAUACUAGUGCUUCCAGCAGGGCCAUAUAUAGCUUCCUCGCUCACGGCCUGAAGAACCCUGGGUGCGGACGGCCGGUGCCCUGGAAGGAGGUGUCCUUGAGGUGAUCAGGUGCGUUCUCGUAGGAGUGCUGCCUCGCCAGCGCGAGGAUCUUCUUGUCUGCCGCGAUGAAGUACGCCAUGCCAGCAACUGCCGGAUCCAGUUUUCGUGGAGCAAAACAGGCAUCAGUUAUAUGUAGAAGAACAUGUUUAUUUCACUGAUGACAUGUGAAGGCAUCUAGGUUGUUAAAUUGUAGGGGG
rnacentral:lncRNA from 1 species